rnacentral:rRNA from 1 species
CCAGACUCCUACGGGAGGCAGCAGUGAGGAAUAUUGGUCAAUGGCCGAGAGGCUGAACCAGCCAAGUCGCGUGAGGGAUGACGGCCCUACGGGUUGUAAACCUCUUUUGCCGGGGAGCAAAGAGCGGGACGCGUCCCGCCUCGAGAGUACCCGGAGAAAAAGCAUCGGCUAACUCCGUGCCAGCAGCCGCGGUAAUACGGAGGAUGCGAGCGUUAUCCGGAUUUAUUGGGUUUAAAGGGUGCGCGGGCGGGAGCGAAAGAGGGGGAUAAAAGUGGGGGGCUCACCCUCCGCCCGCCGUUGAAACUGCGUUUCUUGAGUGGGCGAGAAGUACGCGGAAUGCGUGGUGUAGCGGUGAAAUGCAUAGAUAUCACGCAGAACUCCGAUUGCGAAGGCAGCGUACCGGCGCCCAACUGACGCUGAAGCACGAAAGCGUGGGUAUCGAACAGGAUUAGAUACCCCCGUA